UCCAUCCUGGGGAGGACCGAGUGGUCGUCCGACUGUGCGCCCGGCUCGUCUGUCGAGGACAUGGGGAGCCCCAGUCACCUCGUCCGGAGGUGCAACAGCCGAAAAAGGCCCCGACCACGGGUGAAGUGAGGAGGUGAUAUUAUGUGUUUGGAAGGGCCUCAAAGUAUCCCCUGUGCUCCCCAAACUGUGCCGGUGUGACGCUGCACUCGUCGACGGGCAACUUCUGUUUGUGACAACGCGCAGACUAAGUGUGCUAAAAUCACACGAGUGUGGAUUUUUCUUUUGGUAUUUCAUCGUCGAUUGUACGCAAAAAUGGCGUUGUUUUGAUCCUGCAGUCCGCCAACCUCGAAGUGGCAGGUACCAGCAAACAUAAAGACACACGAAGACAUGCUCUUGCCAAAUGCCACACAAAAACCCCUGUGCAGCCCCAUCAUGAUUAUAAUUAGGCCUCGCCACGGGGACCCAAUCACAGUGGACGUUGACUAAUGGCGAGCGAUGUCAUCCAUUGCAAUGAGAUCACGCCUCAAGAGAAGAAGUGGUGGUUUC